rnacentral:rRNA from 1 species
UUGGAGGGCAAGUCUGGUGCCAGCAGCCGCGGUAAUUCCAGCUCCAAUAGCGUAUAUUAAAGUUGUUGCAGUUAAAAAGCUCGUAGUUGAAUUUCGGAGUUUGUCGGUUGGUCGGGCUUCACUGUCCGCACUGACCUGAUGGAUUCCUACCUUCUGAAUAACCAGCAUGCUAUUAAGUUAGUGCGUUGGGGAAGCAGAGCUAUUACCUUGAAGAAAUUAGAGUGCUUAAAGCAGGCUUUUGCUUGAAUAGAUUAGCAUGGAAUAAUAAAAUAGGACGGCAUGGUUCUAUUUUGUUGGUUUCUAGGAUCACCGUAAUGAUUAAUAGGGAUAGUUGGGGGCAUUAGUAUUCAAUUGUCAGAGGUGAAAUUCUUGGAUUUAUUGAAGACUAACUACUGCGAAAGCAUUUGCCAAGGAUGUUUUCAUUAAUCAAGAACGAAAGUUAGGGGAUCGAAGACGAUCAGAUACCGUCGUAGUCUUAACCAUAAACUAUGCCGACUAGGGAUCGGACGAAGUAAUUUA